CCUGUCCCCAGUUCUCCACCGCCCCUUGCGCGCCUCCCUUCGUCAACCAUAGCCGCCAUGCCAAGCAUCCCUCCCCCUCCUCUCCUCCUCCUCCUCCUCCUCUCCCUUCCGCUGCUCCUAAGCAUAUUCCUUCUUUCGACUUGGCCGUUUUGGUUAUCUGUCCCAUCAAUUCUUCUCUGUUUUGGUGAAGGAUGUUUGGUGCAUCUGUUCAUGCCUUGUUGUCUUCAAAUCCUGCCAGAUGCAGAUCCACUUCCCUUGAGAAUAAAGACCCAGAUCCGCCGAGCCCCUCACUGGUGUUCAACUGUGCCGCUGGUCCAAUAAAGUUUUGAUCUUGCUGUGGGUUUCUGCGAGUAUUGCUAGGUUCUUUGUGCAUCUUACCACAUGAUGAAUUCUUUUAGUGGUUCCUGUCUCUCUUGUUUGAUUCUAUAGCAUAAAUUUGAAAUUAUCCAUGCAAUACUAUGUGAAAUUUCUUGUUCCGUUCAUGCCCAAUUCUUCCUCUAUUUUGUUUCCUAACAGGUGAUUUGGGCAUGCUGAUGACCAAUUUGGAUCCAUGAAGACAGUUUGGUGAUUAAUCCACCUUUUUAUUGGUUCUCUUUUGUCGUUCACGCCUAUUCGGCAACAUGUUGGUGAGAUAUGCCCGAUUGAUUUGCCUUGAAUCUAGUCCCCGUCCCCAACCUCCUCUCCCUCUCAUACCCCACACCAUGGCCGUCCAACCUUUGCUCCUGGAAGCUGUACCCCAAACCAUUUCUUUCAGUGUAAGGGGUUGUUUGUUGAUUCUUGACACACUUCUAAAAACAAAAUCAUGCCCCGACCUGUUGGAUAUCAUCAACAUGAAUGGUAUAUUUCCUUGCCUUUUUGCAACGAUAAUCUUCAAGGUAAGAGGGAUUAUGUUUGUUACUCCUACUUCAGUGAUUCAAGUAUUUGAGAGAUCACAAAUUCUGUGUAGUCUUUAGAUUUAGUCUAGCAUGAUUCAGUGAUUUACAAGUAUUCAGGAAGUGUGGCCAAAUGUGUGAGCUAGAUUCUGCGGAGUUAGUAUAUUACCACCCAGUGUAGUGCUUUUGUGGCUAUAUGUUUGUGAAAACACAAAGAAAUUGCUUGUCUUAUCCAAUAUUGCCUAAAAAACCACGAACCACCAGAAGAUAUUGUCAUAGUAUUUUAGCUAUCUUUUUUUUUUCAUUUAAUCAUGGACGCAUUAGUCUGUUAUCUACUCGAAUGACGCUCCUCUAACACCAGAUUUUAGUCAACUCUACUGCAUGCAGGAUCUUGACCUUACAAGACCUGCAGCCCCAAGGAACCCUCCAAGACCCCAGUUUGAAACAUCUACAAAGGAGGUUUUAAGGAAAGCCGAUUUUAGGGUGAGUAAAUCUGCUUGGCAACCAAUGUAAACUGGCUACAGUUUUUGUGUAAAAUUAAAUGGUAGAUUUGAUAGUAUUUUGGCUGCUUGUAGACUCUAGAACUGUUAGCCAGUAUAGAGUUCAGGGAUACAAUGACUAUGGUAACCUCAAGUGCCCCUUCUUCCAUGAUUAAAUUGGUGGUAAUUUGUCCAAAUAUCUUGUGACACUACCCUAAGCCUGUGAGGAUUCUGGCGUUUUCUAUUGAUGCUUUCCAUCACCGUAUUUGAAUGUAGCAUUUUUCUAUAACUACAAAGCGUUAAGGUUUUUUUCUAUUCUUUGUCAGAAUUGCAAACGCUUCAUAAUAUAUUGAAACAGGUUAGAGACGCCCUUGCUUCAAAGACCUGAAAUACGGAAGCUUCUGAAGGUUUGCCACUGAUUUGAUUCCGUCAGUUACUAUAAUCACCUGUUGUAUGGUUUCAACUAUGAUCACCCUCGUAUGGUUUCCAGUUGAUAUAUUCGUGUGAACUCAUAACCAUUGUGAUGUCUCAUUAUUCCAGUGCACAUCUACACCUUGCCUUCAAGUUUCCUCUGUUUGAUGGUGGUAAUUACACGGCCAACCAAGAUAUGCUGUUUCUGACUGCCUUUAUUACCUCCCUUGUUUGAAUGAAGCCUUGAAAGGUAUCUUCUUCAAUCCUUUCUCAUGGAGUAUCGAGUAUUUCCUUGCAGUAGCUGAUGUGCACACUCCAUGCACUUUUUUUUAGAAAAAACCAUUCCAUAUGCUUUCAGCGUCAUUUUGUAGUGUGCAAAGCUGUAGUAAAAUACUGAUAUUUUCUUGCAGCCGGCAGAAUAUUUGAUGAGCAAACUAUGUACAUAAAUGAUGCAUUACUUGUUAUUCUUACAUGUUAGUUGUGAAUCGCAUCAUCAAUAGCUUAGGUAAGAUCACUAUGAUGUCAUCCUUCCACGGUUGAACUGUUAUUACUUAUAAAUUUAGUUUGUACAUUUUGUUAGACUCUUGGUUGAAUUUUUUGGCCCUGUUUUACUAAUAAUCAGCACCACGAGCAAAUCUUGAAGUCCAGGCAGAGGGCUGAGCAUGCUUGUUUGCUCAUGUAGCAAAUUAACCAAUGUGUUCCUGGGCCAUCUUUCAGAUAAUGAUAUUUAAAUGUUAUGGCUGCUCUGUUUAUGUUGACAUUUUUGGGGUCCGUCGAUGCAUGCUGAGAAACUAUUUACCACUACAAAUUACCUUACCAUUAGCUGUACCUCUUUCAAACCAAAAUCUUUUAAUGCAAAAUGCUACGAUUAUUACA